ensembl:snRNA U5 U5 spliceosomal RNA
UGACUCUGCUUUCUCUUCAUGACGCACAAGUCUUUUGCCUUUUACUAAAGACUUCCGUUGAGAGUAACAGCAAUGAGUCCAAGCUAUUUUUGGUAGACUUUGCCUAACGGCGGAGCCCUUUGAGUUUGUGAAAAGUCA